rnacentral:rRNA from 1 species
UAGGGAAUCUUCGGCAAUGGACGAAAGUCUGACCGAGCAACGCCGCGUGAGUGAAGAAGGUUUUCGGAUCGUAAAACUCUGUUGUUAGAGAAGAACAAGGACGUUAGUAACUGAACGUCCCCUGACGGUAUCUAACCAGAAAGCCACGGCUAACUACGUGCCAGCAGCCGCGGUAAUACGUAGGUGGCAAGCGUAGUCCGGAUUUAUUGGGCGUAAAGCGAGCGCAGGCGGUUUCUUAAGUCUGAUGUGAAAGCCCCCGGCUCAACCGGGGAGGGUCAUUGGAAACUGGGAGACUUGAGUGCAGAAGGGGAGAGUGGAAUUCCAUGUGUAGCGGUGAAAUGCGUAGAUAUAUGGAGAAACACCAAUGGCGAAGGCGGCUCUCUGGUCUGUAACUGACGCUGAGGCUCGAAAGCGUGGGGAGCAAACAGG